CCGUCCACGGCAGGGAUGACCCCUCCCCCUCCUCCUCCUCCUCCCUAACCCCUCCUCUCUCCUUUGCGUUAACUCCAAAACCCUAGCUUCCCCAAUCCCUCUCCUCUCGAAACCCUAGCUCCCAAUGGCGGCCCUCCUAUCCUCCCAGUGCCAGUGCCGCUUCUCCGCUGCCGCUCUGAGAUCCUCUGUCUCGGCCAGGCGGAGCUGCUUCGAUGGCCACCAGAGACCCCUCUGGUUCUGCCGCCUAGGGUUCUGCUGCUCUUCUUCUUCAUCGAGGUUUCGCAAACUCGAUUCCGGAUGGGGAGAGGUACCGGUUGGUCCAGUUCUCUUCCAACCGUUUAUUCCACAUUGUGAUCAUGAGAAGGGAUUGGUAGCUUGAUCUGAUGAUGGAUGGAAAUUGCUUCAACUAUAAUAAAUGGCCAUGGAAGAAUUUGUUUGGCAGAGCCCUAGCAUCUGGGAUUUUGGUGACAGAGUUCUUAAAGGAAGAAUAGAAGCAAAUUGCACAUCUUACAAGUUUGGUGACAGAGUUCUUAAAGAAAAAGACUCAAACGCACAAGUCAUCUAUCCAUCAUGAUGGGGCCAUGUAUUCAACUGGUGGUACAAAUGCUCGUUGGUAUGUAUUCUCAUUUAUAUUACAUAGGUUAUUUAGAGAUUUUGACCAAAUUAAGCGAAAUGUCAUUGUGAACUUAUACUUGAAUUUUAGUUUAUUAUUUUUCACAUGUGGUUAUUGAUUUUGUAUUCUUUU